rnacentral:rRNA from 1 species
UCUGCCCUGCACUCUGGGAUAAGCCUGGGAAACUAGGUCUAAUACCGGAUAUGACAUGUCACCGCAUGGUGGUGUGUGGAAAGUUCUGGCGGUGCAGGAUGAACCCGCGGCCUAUCAGCUUGUUGGUGGGGUAGUGGCCUACCAAGGCGACGAUGGGUAGCUGGUCUGAGAGGAUGAUCAGCCACACUGGAACUGAGACACGGUCCAG